GCCUUCGUAGCGCACGGUGCGCACCACACAAUCAUAUCUAUUAGCUUUCAGCCUUAUCGGAUGUAUUGUGGAUCGGGGUUCGACUUCCCGCGAAGGCA